rnacentral:rRNA from 1 species
GACGAACGCUGGCGGCGUGCCUAACACAUGCAAGUCGAGCGAAUGAAAUUCCUUCGGGAAUGGAUUUAGCGGCGGACGGGUGAGUAACACGUGGGCAACCUGCCUCAUAGAGGGGAAUAGCCUUCCGAAAGGGAGAUUAAUACCGCAUAAGAUUGUAGUACCGCAUGAUACAGCAAUUAAAGGAGCAAUCCGCUAUGAGAUGGGCCCGCGGCGCAUUAGCUAGUUGGUGAGGUAACGGCUCACCAAGGCGACGAUGCGUAGCCGACCUGAGAGGUGAUCGGCCACAUUGGGACUGAGACACGGCCCAGACUCCUACGGGAGGCAGCAGUGGGGAAUAUUGCACAAUGGGGGAAACCCUGAUGCAGCAACGCCGCGUGAGUGAUGACGGCCUGGUGUAAG